AGGCUUUAGCAUCAUUUUCCAACUAUGAAAAUGAUCCUUUAUGAUAUGUCGACAACAGUGGUCAAGAAGGGGACCAAUUGCUGAACAAGAUAUUGGCGGCAGUGGUCAAGAAGUGGGAGCUGUUGCUGAACCGGAAAUCAAAUUCACCACCGCAACAGUAUGCUUCCAUGUCUUUCAAUGCUUCUUUAUAGCACCAUCUAUUUUAUUAAUUCUAGCUUUCGCGGCCAUCACGUCCCCUAUAGAUUACCUUUGUACCACAGUUCAAUAUGUGAUUUGUGAUAUAAUUAUGGUGGAGAUCAUUUGUCGAUUUAAGUAAAAAAUCACCCCAAAGAUUGUCAAGUUCUUAGGAAUAAGAUGCAUCAGGAAAGCAAUAGAGAUAUUUUUAUAGGCUCUGGGUAUUUAUUUACAAAAUAUUAUAGAUACCGAAUGCAUAAUUUGUGUUUUUACCCUAGUAUGUUGUUCCUACUACCUGAUUUCCUAUGUCUUAUUUUUGAGACAUAGUGGAGCCCUAAGUUUUCUGGAUUUUGCCCUAGGGAUAUAUGCUGUAAUUCCAGUGCGUUUUAUAAAAUUGAUGGACGAUGGAAAAAAUCUUUAAGGUUAUGAAUAUGCAUUAUUCGUUCUUUCAAUUACAACUUGCAUUUCUCUAUUUUUAUUUAAAAGUCAUUAGGAGAAUGUAAUUGAAGGGAUUGUGAAUCCACAAAACUUUGUUUUU